GGAGCGCUAAUACCGCAUACGUCCUACGGGAGAAAGCAGGGGACCUUUGGGCCUUGCGCUAAUAGAUGAGCCUAAGUCGGAUUAGCUAGUUGGUAGGGUAAAGGCCUACCAAGGCGACGAUCUGUAGCGGGUCUGAGAGGAUGAUCCGCCACACUGGGACUGAGACACGGCCCAGACUCCUACGGGAGGCAGCAGUGGGGAAUAUUGGACAAUGGGGGGAACCCUGAUCCAGCCAUGCCGCGUGAGUGAAGAAGGCCUUUUGGUUGUAAAGCACUUUAAGCGAGGAGGAGGCUACCUAGAUUAAUACUUUAGGAUAGUGGACGUUACUCGCAGAAUAAGCACCGGCUAACUCUGUGCCAGCAGCCGCGGUAAUACAGAGGGUGCGAGCGUUAAUCGGAUUUACUGGGCGUAAAGCGUGCGUAGGCGGCCAAUUCAGUCAAAUGCGAAAUCCCCAAGCUUAACUUGGGAAUUGCAUUCGAUACUGGUUGGCUAGAGUAUGGAAGAGGAUGGUAGAAUUCCAGGCGUACCGGCGAAAUGCGCAGAGAUCUGGAGGAAUACCGAUGGUAAAAGCAGCCAUCUGGCCUAAUACUGACGCUG
rnacentral:rRNA from 1 species